GGAGGAGGAGGUGCAGCAUUCCCUGGGUUAGGGUUUGCUGGAUUUUGAUAAAAAGGUGAGGGUGGAAACACGGAAUAAGGUGGAUAUGGGGGGUAGAAGGGAGGAUAAGGCAUGAAAGAAGGAUAUGGGUUAUAGCUGGAAAAAUCUGAUGUACCUCCCAUCGGAUACCUUAGCCCCUGUGGGUAGGGUUGGUACUGCGGUGGGUGAGCAAAACCCGAGGCUUGAGCGCCUCCUUGAGACUCUCCCAUACUCUCUUCUCACAUACUCAGACCUAAACUGCCAUCCCUCCUCUGAUCAUCAUCCACUGUUUUCCUCACAUAUGCUGACAUCCUACCCUGAUCUGUUCUCCUCCUGUUCACAUCAAAAGACCUUCUAGGGUCCCUUGAUGUUCCUUCUCUACUUGAUCUACUUGACCUUGCCCUUGGCAGAGCAGGGGGAAGGGCAUCCAUGCCCUCAUUCUCAAGUGGAGCUCCUGUCAACCAUGCGGAUCGACGUGAGCCUCUCAUCCUGUUUUCUGAAAAACGAUAUUCAACACUUAGCAUUAGCAUCAUAUGUGUAACGACCCGGAAACCGGACCGCUACCGGCGCUAGGAUUCAAAUCGACUUAAGGUCGCCGGAACCCGUAGCAAGCCUACUGUGAACUCUGUGUACCUGAUAAAUCCCAUACAUGAUUAUACAUUUCCAUAAAAAUUUUGAAUUUUAUCAUUACCAAGCUAGACCUGCGCAUGCACUAACCUGUAAACAUCAAACCCCAUGCUAGAGCUCUCAUCAAAUACUCUAGAUGGGUCAUCAUCAUAUGUCAAGCUUGGAUUUCAUCAUUAAAAAUCAGAAAACAUUACAUAAUGAUCAUAUACAAAGGGAUUUAAACAUACUCUAGGGCUAAGCACAAUACUAUUCUAUUCUCAAUAUACAUUACAUGACUUUACAUUAUCUCUUUAUACAUUACAUCACAUCAUGUCCACUACUCUAUACUAUUACACUUAGACUUUACCCUUGUUGUUCCUCUGCCUUCUCUAUGGCCCUGAAAACAUGGGGUUAGGGAGAGAGGUGAGCUACUAGAGCCCAGUGAGCAGAACAAUAAAAACAUUUAAAACAUGCUACCAUGAAAUGCGUCACAUCACAAUCAAAUCAUAUCACGGACGGACUGACCCAAAAAUCCCUCUGCUCUGUGCUCGGCCCUCAAAAGACCUCCUCAGGACUUCUGUUACAUGCAGAUAAUCUCUGUGCCCAGCCCUCAAGGGGCUCCUCAGGACUUCUGUUACAUAAACAUAAACAUCAGAGGGCUAAAGGGUCCUACUCUGUGUCCGUCCCCAUCAACAAGGAAUAAUGCAAUGUGUCAUCUUCGUGAACACUAAUGCAAUGCAAAACACCCUAAUAUCACAUGGCAUUUAUGAUGCAUGAAUGAUGCUAAAAGCUUUCAUUAAUUAGAAAACAUAGUUCAAUUCCACUCACCUCUGUCAACUGCUGAACAGUCUCUGUAACUCUAACUCUGUGGGCCUCCUUGGUUCCUCGGGUCCGCACCUACACAGGUGGACUCAAAUGAGGACCAAACAUACUCUAACAUAGCUAUAAACAUCUCCCCAAAAACCCCCUAAACCAUUAUAAACAUGCAUGGAAAAAUGGACAAAGGAAGACUAGACAGGGCACUUUCGGCGGCAGGUUCGGCGGCCGAAAGUCCCUCCAGAGCCAAAACUCAUGCACUUUCAGCGGCACCUUCGGCAGCCAAAAGUCCCUUCUAGAGUCGAAAGUCUAAACUUUCGGGGGCAUGGUUCGGGGGCUGAAAGACUUCCAGAGCCGAAAGUCACCCACCUUCGGCGGCAUGUUCGGCGGCCGAACCUUCCCUCCAGAGACGAAAGUCUCAACUUUCGGGGGCAAGGUUAGGCGGCCAAAACAGCCUCUUUAGGGGGUUCAGCGGCCGAACCUUGCUUCGGCGGCCGAACCUGAGUUUGCUAAGAAGGCAGAACUCGGGUCAAACAUGCAUACUCAGCCUCCAAAACCAAACCAAACAUACUCAACAUGCAUACCAACUUUCUAUAACAUGCCUAUACUCUUUUCCAUGCAUAUAGGAGCUUAAAAACUAGUACAAACUCCUCCAACAACAUCAUAACAACAAACAUAGCACAUGCUCACCAUAUACUCAACUUCAAGAUCUACUCUCUAACAUGCCAUCAAACUCUCUUAAACCCUUAAAACCAUGCUUAAAACAUAAGGGGAGGUGAGGAUCCAUGCUUACCUCUUGAAGAACGAGAGGAUCGAUGGUCCUAACUCGGAGAUGUGGAGGAAAAAGAUCCAAAGUCUCCAAAUCUUUCAACUUUGCCUUCUUUUGCUCAAAACUUCAAAACCAAGUUAAAAACCCAUGAAAACUUUGCAUGAUUUGAAAGAACAAGAUGAAAACAACCAAAGGAGGUCACAAACUCACCUUUGCACGAAAAGAGGGUGAAAACACACCCCAUUUCUGGUCAAAGGAGCUUUUAUAGGUGGCCAACCGCCUCUCCUUUGGCGGCCAAAGCUGCAUGUGAAACCAUGCAACGUUCAGCGGCCGAACUUCACUUUCGGCGGCCGAACCUGGCAAAAACCUCCUUGGUCUUUUCCUUUCCAAAACUCACUUUUUUUUAUUAAAACCAUUAAAACAUGUAAAAACAUUUUGAAAUACCUCUAUUUUCCCCUUAUGGAAGGCUCUGACAUCUGAGAAAUCCAGAUUCCAACGGAGAUCCCGCCGAAAAAUAGGAAUUUCGAUGCUGGGGUCUAGCCGGGUAUUAUAUUCUCCCCCCCUUAAGAACAUUCAUCCCCGAAUGUUCCUCCUCUAACACAUGCAUAACAUACCUAUAACAUGAACAUCACAUGAACUCAUGAAAGCAUAAAACACAAGGAAAACAUAAACUCUGGAGCAUAGACUCUCGUAUCUCCCAGGUGCAUUCUUCAAUAUUAUGGUGGUUCCAAAGGACUUUCACCAUCGGGAUCUCCUUGUUUCUCAACUUCCUGAUCUGGGUGUCAAUGAUCCGCACUGGCUGUUCUACAUAGGUGAGAUCUCCCAGGAUCUCAAUAUCUGGUUCAGUGAGAACUUUUCCCGGAUCUGAUACAAAUUUUCGUAACAUAGAAACAUGGAAGACCGGAUGGAUUCUUUCCAUAGAAGUAGGUAAAUCUAACUUGUACGACACAUUCCCGACCUUCUGCAAAAUCUCAAAGGGUCCGAUGUACCGUGGAGCUAGCUUACCUUUCUUCCCAAAACGAACCACCCCUUUCAUUGGAGACACCUUCAGCAAUACCAGAUCCCCCUCCUGGAACUCUAUAUGCUUCCUGCGGACAUCUGCAUACCUCUUCUGCCGACUAACAGUAGUUCUUAUUCUCUCCCUGAUGAUGGGCACUACUCUGUUGGUAAUUUCUACCAAUUCAGGCCCUGCUAAGGACCUCUGUCCAACCUCUUCCCAACAAACAGGUGACCUGCACUUCCUUCCAUAAAGAGCUUCAUAUGGAGCCAUCCCUAUGCUAGCAUGAUGGCUGUUGUUGUAGGCAAACUCCACUAAGGGUAGAUGUUGCCUCCAAGAACCGCCAAAAUCUAGCACGCACAUUCUGAGCAUAUCCUCUAUGGUCUGGAUGGUCCUCUCUGACUGUCCGUCAGUCUGUGGAUGGAAAACAGUGCUAAAGUCCAACCUUGUGCCCAUAGCAAUCUGCAGACUCCGCCAAAAUCUGGAGGUGAACUGGGGUCCUCUAUCUGACACUAUAGAAACCGGAGCCCCACGCAGUCUGACAACUUCUUCAACAUACACCUGCGCCAACUUGUCCACAGAGUAGUUACUCCUGACAGGGAUGAAGUGAGCAGAUUUAGUCAGUCGAUCCACAAUCACCCAUAUGGAGUCUAGUCUGUUGGACGCCGCCGGUAACCCCACUACAAAAUCCAUAGCUAUAUUCUCUCAUUUCCACUCUGGAAUCGGUAGUGGGUUAAGCAUUCCAGCCGGCUUCUUAUGUUCUAGCUUCACCCUUUGACAAACCUCGCAGGCUGACACAAACUGUGCCACUUCUCUCUUCAUAGCUGGCCACCAAUACACUCUUUUCAAAUCAUGAUACAUCUUGGUGGCUCCAGGGUGAACACUAUACCGAGCAUUAUGAGCUUCCCUCAUAAUGUCUCCUUUCAGACGGAUGUUAUCUGGUACACAUAAUCUGGUCCCGUAGCGAAGCAUCCCUUUGUUGUCAAAUCUGAACUCAUCACUCUUGCCUGACUGAACAGUCCUGGAAAUCUUGACCAACUCUGGAUCCUCAUGCUGUUUCUGAGCUACCUGCUCCAGAAACACGGGUGUGACUCUCAUUUGAGCUAUCAAAGCACCUGUACCAGAUAACUCUAACUGAAGCCCUUCCUGAACGAGCUUAUAGAAUUCCCUCACCACCGGCCACCUCUCUGCCAUGAUAUGGGACAAACUGCCAAGUGAUUUCCGGCUUAGGGCGUCUGCCACGACAUUUGCCUUACCCGAAUGAUACUAGAUCUUGCAAUCAUAAUCACUCAGCAAUUCUACCCAUCUUCUCUGCCUCAAAUUCAACUCUCUCUGACUCAAGAUGUGCUGCAGGCUCUUAUGAUCUGUGAAGAUCUCACAUUUAACCCCAUAAAGGUAAUGCCUCCACAUCUUGAGUGCAAAGAUCACAGCUGCCAUCUCAAGGUCAUGUGUAGGAUAGUUUAACUCAUGCUUCUUCAGUUGCCUAGAAGCCUAAGCAAUCACUCUGUCAUUCUGCAUCAACACACAACCCAGUCCCACUCGGGACGCAUCACAGAACACUGUGAAAUCUUCAUCACUGGUAGGCAGAGCUAACACCGAUGCUGAAGUCAACCUUUUCUUUAGCUCUUCGAAAAUCUCUUCACACUGGUUAGACCAUGUAAACCUCUGAUUUUUCAUUGUUAAUCUGGUCAUAGGAGCUGCAAUCUUAGAGAAGUCCUGUACGAACCUCCUAUAGUAGCCUGCUAAACCCAGAAAGCUCUUAAUCUCUGUCACUGUGGUGGGUCUAGGCCAGUUAGCUACAGCCUCUAUCUUAUUGGGGUCCACUGCUAUUCCCUGGUCUGACACAACAUGCCCCAAGAAAGAAAUGCUCCUCAGCUAGAAUUUACACUUGGAGAACUUGGCAUACAAGCCAUGCUCUCUCAAGGUCUGCAGAACCAUCCUCAGAUGAUGGGCAUGCUCCUCUGCAUUUCUGGAAUACACCAAUAUAUCAUCUAUGAAGACAAUAACAAAGUGAUCCAGAUACUGUUUGAAAACUCUGUUCAUGAGAUCCAUGAAUGCUGCAGGGGCAUUGGUUAACCCGAACGGCAUUACAAGGAACUUAUAAUGCCCAUAUCUGGUUCUGAAAGCUGUCUUUGGCACAUCCUUUUCCCUGAUUCUCAACUGGUGAUACCCUGAUCUUAGAUCUAUUUUAGAAAAACAACCUGCUCCAGCUAGCUGGUCAAAUAGAUCGUCGAUCCUGGGUAGAGGAUAUUUGUUCUUAGUAGUGACUUUGUUCAACUGCCUGUAGUCGAUACAAAGUCUAAGGGAUCCAUCCUUCUUUCUCACAAACAGUACUGGAGCACCCCAAGGUGAGGUACUCAGUCGGAUGAAACCCUUAUCUACCAACUCUUGUAACUGUUCUUUCAACUCUUUUAACUCUGCUGGUGCCAUCCUGUAGGGAAGGAUAGAGAUUGGUCUGGUACCAGGCAACAACUCUAUCUCAAACUCUAUCUCCCUAUCAGGUGGUAGUCCCGGAAGCUCGUCUGGGAAAACAUCAGGAAAUUCUCUGACUACGGGCACUGAGACUGGUUCCCUAACCUGACUGUCUAGCUCUCUCACAUGAGCUAGAAACCCCUGACAACCCCUCUUGAGCAACCUACGAGCCUGAAGGGCUGAUAUCAAACCUCUAGGCGUACCCGUCCUAUCUCCUCUGAAGACAAACUCGGAUCCAUCCUGAUCUCUGAACUUAACUACUUUGUCUCUACAGUCCAAGGUAGCACCAUAUGCAGAUAGCCAAUCCAUCCCUAGAAUGACAUCAAAAUCCGUCAAAUCUAGAACCACAAGGUCAGCUGGAAGGCAUCUACCAUCUAUAAACACUGGACUAUGACGGCAGACUGACUCUGCCAAUGAUGGAUCACACUUGGGCCCACUGACCCAAAGGGGACACUCUAACUCAGAAGUCAUCAAACCCACUCUCUCUAUGGCUCUCAGAGCAACAAAUGAAUGAGAAGCACCGGGGUCUAAUAGAGCAUACACAUCAGAACAACCAAUGAUGAGAUUACCUGACACCACUGUGUUAGAUGUGUUUGCCUCCUGCUGUAUCAUAGUAAAGAUCCGAGCUGGAGCUGACGAACCUGCACCUCGGGAACCCGUAGAUGAAGAGGCUACCCCUCUUCCUCUGCCUCUACCCUGAGUCGUGGCUGGAGCUGAUGGCUGUGGCAUACUGCCUGGAGCUGUCUGCUGGGACGGUGCUGAAAAAGCUGAUCUCGGACACUCACGAGCCAUGUGUCCCUCUUGGCCGCACCUGAAACAUGCUGUAGUCCCAAACCGACAAACUCCUCUGUGCAGCUUACCGCACUUCACACACACUGGAAUCUCUGAGCCUGAGCUCGAGCCACUUCCUAGUCCCAGACCUGCCUUUAGCUUGUUCCAGAACUUGUUCUUCUUUGGAUUCUUAGUGGAGCCACUGAACUUUUUACUGCCUGAAGCUGCUGCACUCUGCGAAGAGGGAUCUGACUUUCCCCUGCCUGGGGUCUUAGAACCCGAAGACUGUGCCACCUGCUGUUUUACUGUUCCCUGAAUGAUGGCACUAGCCUCCAUCUUCCGUGCUAUAUCCACCACUGUAUGGAAACUCUCCCUCUCAGCUGCAUGGAUCAAGGAGGAGUACCUAGGAUGCAGCCUCAUGGUAUACCGCCUAGCCUUUUUCUGAUCUGUAUCAUAGGCCUGACCCACAUACUGCAACAACUCCAUAAACCUGCCAGUGUACUCAUCGACACUCAUGUCCUCUGUCUGCCUCAGCUGCUCAAACUCUAUCAUCUUCAGCUCUCUAGAACUAUCUGGGAACGCCCACCCAGCAAACUCAUUUGCAAACUCCCCCCAUGACAUGUUAUCCAAUCUAGGGUCCACAUAGUUACUAAGCCACUCCUUUGCUUUAUUGCAUUUCAAAGUGAACCCCGCCAUCUGAAUGGCUCUACUAUCAUCUGCCCCUAGCUCAUCUGCUAUCAUCUUAACCGCUUUGAGAUACUCAAAUGGAUCAUCUCCUGGCUUGUACUUAGGAGCAUCCAGCUUCAGGUAAUCGGUCAUCUUUACUUUGCUCCUCUCAGAUGGGCGAGGUUGAGGUGUUUGGAUAAUAGGGGCUACUGGUUCUGCUGGUGGUGGAGGUGCAGAACUCUCUGGAGUAGGGUAUGCUGGACUUGGGUAGAAGGGUGAGGGUGGAUACAUAGGGUACUGUGGAUAUGGUGGGUAAAAAGGUGGAUAAGGCAUAAAGGUGGGAUAUGGGUGAAAACAAGGAUAAUCCGAUGUACCCCCAUCGAAUAUCCUGGGCCUUGAGGAAAGGGCUGAUAUUGGGGUGGAUAACCAUACCCCGAGGCCUAAGCGCCUCCCUGUGAUGAUCCCAUACCCUCCUCAGAUGUGCCAACACCUAACCCUCCAUCUCUUCUCUGAUCAACAUCCAUAGCUUUCCUCACAUCACUUGAUCUUCUACCCUGUUCUGUUUCCCUUCUGCUUUCAUCAAAGGACCUUCUAGGAUCCCUUGAUGUUCUUUCUCUGCCUGUUCUCUGAGACAUUGCCCUUGGCAAAGCAGGGGGACGGGCAUCCAUGCCCUCAUUCUCUGGUGGAGCUCCAGUCAAUCUAGCAGAUCGAUGAGUCCCUCUCAUUCUAUCUUCUGAAAACAUCACAUAUACCAUAAACAUUAGCAUCAUAUGGUCCAUGUGGAAACACAUGAACCCUCAUCAUACAUAGCAUAUCAUUCAAUGCACAUGCAUAAAAUCAUGGCAUUACACAUCACUAUCAAGACAGGACUCUAUAUCCUACCUUAGUGGACAUGAUCUUUCCUAUUGUGCUUGCCCUUCUACAACCUCUAUGAGCCCGACACUCUAUAGGUCCGAUCAUAUGAACCUAGGGCUCUGAAACCAAUCUGUAACGAUCCGAAAACCGGACCGCUAUCGGCGCUAGGAUUCAGAUCGACUUAAGGUCGCCGAAACCCGUAGCAAGCCUACUGUGAACUCUGUGUACCUGAUAAAUCCCAUACAUGAUCAUACAUUUCCAUAAAAAUUUUGAAUUUUAUUAUUACCAAGCUUGACCUGUACAUGUACUAACCUGUAAACAUCAAACCCCAUGCUAGAGCUCUAAUCAAAUACUCUAGAUGGGUCAUCAUCAUAUGUCAAGCUUGGAUUUCAUCAUUAAAAAUCAGAAAACAUUACAUAAUGAUCAUAUACAAAGGGAUUUAAACAUACUCUAGGGCUAAGCACAAUACUAUUCUAUUCUCAAUAUACAUUACAUGACUUUACAUUAUCUCUUUAUACAUUACAUCACAUCAUGUCCACUACUCUAUACUAUUACACUUAGACUUUACCCUUGAUGUUCCUCUGCCUUCUCUAUGGCCCUGAAAACAUGGGGUUAGGGAGAGGGGUGAGCUACUAGAGCCCAGUGAGCGGAACAAUAAAAAUAUUUAAAACAUGCUACCAUGAAAUGCGUCACAUCACAAUCAAAUCACAUCACGGACGGACUGACCCAAAAAUCCCUCUACUCUGUGCUCGGCCCUCAAAGGAGCUCCUCAGGACUUCUGUUACAUGCAUAUAAUCUCUAUGCCCGGCCCUCAAGGGGCUCCUCAGGACUUCUGUUACAUAAACAUAAACAUCAGAGGGCUAAAGGGUCCUACUCUGUGUCCGUCCCCAUCAACAAGGAAUAAUGCAAUGCGUCAUCUUCGUGAACACUAAUGCAAUGCAAAACACCCUAAUAUCACAUGGCAUUUAUGAUGCAUGAAUGAUGCUAAAAGCUUUCAUUAAUUAGAAAACAUAGUUCAGUUCCACUCACCUCUGUCAACUGUUGAACAGUCUCUGUAACUCUAACUCUCUGGGCCUCCUUGGUUCCUUGGGUCCGCACCUACACAGGUGGACUCAAAUGAGGACCAAACAUAUUCUAACAUAGCUAUAAACAUCUCCCCAAAAACUCCCUAAACCAUCAUAAACAUGCAUAGAAAAAUGGACAAAGGAAGACUAGACAGGGCACUUUCGGCAGCAGGUUCGGCGGCCGAAAGUCCCUCCAAAGCCGAAACUCAUGUACUUUCGGCGGCACCUUCAAUGGCCGAAAGUCCCUUCCAGAGUCGAAAGUCUAAACUUUCGGGGGCAAGGUUCGGGGGCUGAAAGACUUCCAGAGCCGAAAGUCACCCACCUUCGGCGGCAUGUUCGGCGGCCGAACCUUCCCUCCAGAGACAAAAGUCUCAACUUUCGGGGGCAAGGUUAGGCGGCCAAAACAGCCUCUUUAGAGGGUUCGGCGGCCGAACCUUGCUUCGGCGGCCGAACCUGAGUUUGCCAAGAAGGCAGAACUCGAGUCAAACAUGCAUACUCAGCCUCCAAAACCAAACCAAACAUACUCAACAUGCAUACCAACUUUCUAUAACAUGCCUAUACUCUUUUCCAUGCAUAUAGGAGCUUAAAAACUAGUUCAAACUUCUCCAAUAACAUCAUAACAACAAACAUAGCACAUGCUCACCAUAUACUCAACUUCAAGAUCUACUCUCUAACAUGCCAUCAAACUCUCUUAAACCCUUAAAACCAUGCUUAAAACAUAAGGGGAGGUGAGGAUCCAUGCUUACCUCUUGAAGAACGAGAGGAUCGAUGGUCCUAACUCGGAGAUGUGGAGGAAAAAGAUCCAAAGUCUCCAAAUCUUUCAACUUUGCGUUCUUUUGCUCAAAACUUCAAAACCAAGUUAAAAACUCAUGAACACUUUGCAUGAUUUGAAAGAACAAGAUGAGAACAAUGAAGGGAGGUCACAAACUCACCUUUGCACGAAAAGAGGGUGAAAACACACCCCAUUUCUGGUCAAAGGAGCUUUUAUAGGUGGCCAACCGCCUCUCCUUUGGCGGCCAAAGCUGCAUGCGAAACCAUGCAACGUUCGGCGACCGAACCUGGCAAAAAUCUCCUUGGUCUUUUCCUUUCCAAAACUCAUUUUUCUUUAUUAAAACCAUUAAAACAUGUAAAAACAUUUUGAAAUACCUCUGUUUUCCCCUUAUGGAAGGCUCCGACAUCUGAGAAAUCCAUAUUCCAAUGGAGAUCCCGCCAAAAAAUUGAAAUUCCGAUGCCGGGGUCUAGCCGGGUAUUACAAUAUGGUUCAUGUGAAAAUACAUGAACCCACAUCACACACAUAACAUAUCAUCAAUGCUCAUGCAUAUUAUCUAUUGGGAAAUCCCGAGAUUAUUACAACCCAGUUGCGCAGCGGAAAAAUAAAAUCUCUGUUGAUUUUCUUUCCCAGAAUCCGAGUGCUUCGUUUAAUUCAUAAGAAGAAUAUGAGACUAACUUGUUAAUCUCGUUGAGAAGAUACAAUGUUCGACUGAUGGUGCUGCUUUUUCAAAUGAACACCCUCUAUGGUAUCCACACGAAUGUCUUCUAUCCUUCUAGAGUGCUAGCUCUCUCAAAGAUGGAUAGAUUAUGUGCUCCACAAUCUGCAAUCUUUUAGACUGAGUUUUCUCAAAACCACACGUACCUUCCACAAUUCGUAGAAGGGGUAUUUAUAUGUUUCAGUCUUUUAUUUUUCCCACAACUCCUUUUCCUAAAAGGAGUUGUAUUUUUUCCACAACUCCUUUUAGGAAAAGGAGUUGUGUUCAUCCCACAACUCCUUUUCCUAAAAGGAGUUGUGUUCAUAACCCACUAUCACAAUCUCGUAGAUACUCAAAUACCUUAUGUGAUAGAGUCCUUUAUUUGUAAUACUUAUAGAUAGACUGCAAAUCUUUUAAAUAUUAUUAUCUCAUAAUAAUAAAUGAUUAAUAAUAAUAACACUUUAUAUUAUUAAUUAUAUUAAUAAUUAAUAUUAAUAAUAAUAACACUUUAUUAUUAUUAAUUAUAUUAAUGAUUAAUAAUAAUAACACUUUAUUAUUAUUAAUUAUAUGAAUGGGCUUUGGACUUUUGGCCCAUUAAUAUGACAUAGCACAUCAACAACGUUAUUUUGUGUGUGACCCAAUAGGCUCAUAUUAAUUGGCAAUAGACCCAGUCCCACAAGGCCCAUAAGUCAUAAGUGGCCUCUAGCAAGACAUUAUGACUACCCAACUAAUAUGAGGAUCAAUAGUCCGAUAAAGCCUAAUAAAUAGAACAUGAAUUAAUCCCUUUGUCACACGAUAUCUAGUUUGAACAUAAGUCAUGGUCAAUGUCAAACUUAUAAUGUUCAAACUUAUGAUUUCUCGAUCUCUAAGUAGACUGAUAAAUUCAAAUGAUAUUGAUCAUACUAUCAAUUCAUUUGAGCACGGUCAUGCAUUUCUCAGUCUCACUUAUCGAGGGGCCCAGAAGAUAUCUCUCUCAUAGAGAGGGACAAAUCCUAUCUUGAUUGUUCAUUAUCCUCUACAUAAUUUCUAUUAUGCUCAAUCAUAACCUUUAUGAUUGUCCAAUUAAAGACAACGUUUGGUUAUGUCAAAACAUAAUAAUCCUUAUGUUGGAAACUAUGACAAUCUCAAGUCAAAUGAUUAAGACAUAACUACUUUGAUAUUCACUUAUGACAAUGACCUAUAUAGUGAUUUCAAUGCGGGUCCAUCUAAUACUUUGUUCUCUAACAAGUAGUUAUGAUUAUUGAAUUAUAUCAACAUAUAUAUAAUCAUCUCAUGAUUAUCAAUCAAUAAUCAUACCAGUUAUAUUUUAUUAUUAUCAACAUAAUAAUAAGUAACCAGGGAUGAUAAUCAUUAUUAUGUAACAUGCAAAUAAAUAAUAAUGAUAAAAAUCUCUUUUAUUAAUAACUAAAACGACAUACAAAAAGGUCCAAGAUAAUGGCCUAGGGUAUAUACACUAACAUUAUCUUGCAUUUCACAUUAUUAUUCAUUCAUACAAGACAGGACUCUAGAUCCUAUCAUAGUGGACAUGAUUUUUCCUAUUGUGCUUGCCCUUCUAUAAUAUUUAUGAGCCCGACACGCUAGGUCCAACCAUAUGAACCUAGGGCUCUGAUACCACUCUGUAACGAUCCGAAAACCGUACCGUACCGCAGCAAGCCUAACAUACAACCUGUCAUACCUGAUAGAAUCCCAUACAUGAACAUUCAUUUACAUAAAAACUUAAACUUUCCAUAUAAGCAAGUUCAACCUGUGCAUGUAUCAUAAGCUUAAAACAAAAAACCCAUACUAGAGCCCUCAUCAUAUGCUCCAGUAUGAUCAACAUACAUGCCUCACUUGGUUCAACAUAUCAUAAGCAUAAAACAUUUUACUUAAAGCUCAUGUAAACUGAGAUCUCAAGCCAUCAUUAGGGCCGAGCACAAUACUAAUCCACAAUACAUUACAUGUCCACUACUAAUCUAUUACAUUAAACUUUACCCAAAACCUUGCCAACUCUCCCAGAGCUACCUGUGAUCCUGCAAACCUAGGGGUUAGGGGAAAGGGGUAAGCUACAAGAGCCUAGUGAGCAUAAUAUAAGAAAAAUAGCUUAAUAAACACAUGCUUUCAUGAAAUGCAUCACAACACAAACAAUACACAUCAAGGAUGGACUUGUCACCAGUGACCCUCUACAUAUCCAAGUAAUGCCCGGCCCUCGACGGAGCUCCUCAGGACUUCCUCUUAAACAUAACAUAACAUGUCCAACUGUGCCAGGGGCGUAGAAUGGGCAACCCUGGUCUUUCCCUUACAUCGUGCCAGGGGCGUAGAAUGGGUAGCCCUGGUCUUUCCGUAUCAUAUCAUAUCAUAUCAUAUCAUAUCGAGGGCUAGUGGGUCAUCCAAUAUCUAUCCACAUCAACAGUAAAUAAUGCAAUGCACCAUAUUCGUGAAUUUCUAAUGUAAACAUCCUAAUAUAUAACAUGGCAUUCGUGAUGCAUGAACAUGCUCAAAAACUUAGUACUUUAAAAUUUAGAAUUUAGUUCUACUCACCUCUGGCUGACGCUUGACUGACUCUGAAGCAGCUGACUCACUGCUGGACUCUUCGGUCUCCCAGGUCCGAUCCUACACAGGUGGACUCAAAUGAGGGACCAACAUACUCUAUAAAGGCUCUAAACAUCUCCCUAAACCCCCCCCCUAAAACAUCAUAGAAUAUGCAGGUAAAACAAGCAAAGAAAGGCUGGGCAGAGGACUUUCGGCGGCAGGUUCGGCGGCCGAAGGUCCCUACAGAUCCGAAAGUCCAUUCUUUCGGGGUCGAGUUUAGGUGGCCAAAGUUGCCUCCCCUAGCAGGUUCGGCGGUCGAACCUGGGUCUUCCUGAGUGACAGAACCCGAUUAUGCCAUAAUGCCCAAGCCACCAAAACUCACAUCCAACCAUUCUAAACAUGCAUACACGCUUCAACAUGCAUAAGGGGUAUAAAACUAGCCUAAACCCCAACAAACAAUACAUAGAAACAUACAAUCCUCAUUAAACUUACAUAAAUCCUAACAUUUUAGAUCUAACCAAAACAUGCAUUAUUUACCCUUAACCCUUUUUAAAACUUACUUAAAACAUAAGAAUAGAUGAGGAUCUACACUUACCUCUUGAAGAUCGAGAGGAGAUGUGAUCUGAACUCGAAGAUGAGGAGAAAACGGUCUCCGGAGGUCUCCAAGCUUAAAAACUUCGAUUUUAGCUUAAAAUCUUCAAAACAAAGCAAAACUCAUAAAAAUCUUGAAGGAUUUGAAGGAAAAACAUAAAAUCAACCAUGGAAGGGUAGAACCUCACCUAUAUCCGAAAAUAGAGAGAGAAAACUCGCCCAUUUUUGGACGGGGGCCUUUUAUAGGUGGCUUGUAACGACCCGAAAUCCGGACCGCUAUCGAUGCUAGGAUCCAGAUCGGCUUAAGGCCGCCGGGACCCGUAGCAAGCCUCACAUACAACCUGUAAACCUGUUUAAUCCCAUACAUGAUCAACAAUUACAUAAAUAUUUAAAACUUUCUCAUUUAUUCAUUCGUUCAUUCAUUCAUUCAUUCAUUCCUUCACCAAGCUUAACCUAUGCAUGCACAAAUCACAACAUAAAACCUCUCACUGGAGUCCUCAUCAAAUACUCCAAUGGGGUAUCAUAACAUACAUUAAGCUUAGUUUACAUAACAUCAUAAAACAUUUCAUUAAAAGAUCAUGUAACCAAAAAAAGGGAUUAACAACAUACUAGGGUCAAGCACAAUUCUAUCCUCAAUACAAUCAUUACUUUACAUAACUGAACUAAACAUUGCAUUUCAAUAUUUAUCAUGUCCACCACUAGCUAUUACAUGACCAUAACUUUACUCUAGCUGACCUCCUGGUCUAUCCCGUACCUGCAUACCUGGGGGAUUAGGGAAAUGGGGUGAGCUACUAGAGCCCAGUGAGCAGAAUAAUAAAACAUUUAAAAUAUAUGCUAUAAUGGAAUGCAUCACACCACAAACAUAUCACAUCAAGGAUGAAUUUGUCACCAGUAGUCCUCUACAUAGUCCAACUGUGCCAGGGGCGUAGAAUGGGCCUCACUGGUCUUUCUCUUACAUUGUGCCAGGGGCAUAGAAUGAGCCUCACUGGUCUUCCAUACCGUAUCAUCAUCAUAUCAUAUCAUACGAGGACUAAAGGAUCAUCCAACAUCCAUCCACAUCAAUAUCAAAUAAUGCAAUGCAACAUAUUCGUGAAUUCUAAUGCAAACAACCUAGAAUAUCUCAUGGCAUUCAUGAUGCGUGAAUCAUGCUAGAACUUUUAUUAAUUUAAAACAUGAAGAUUUAUUCUACUCACCUCUGGCUGACUCUGAAACAGCUAGCUCACUGCUAGGGUCCUUUGUUCCUCGGGUCCGAACCUACACAGGUGGACUCAUAUGAGGGACCAAACAUACAUGAACAUGACUCUAAAAUAUUCCCCAAAAACCCCCUAAAACAUCAUAAAACAAUCACAUAAAUCAUGCAAAAGAAGGCUGAACAUGGCACUUUCGGCGGCAGGUUCAGCGGUCGAAAGUCCCUCCAGAGCUGAAAGUCAUGCACCUUCGGCAACACUUUCGGGGCCCGAAGGUUCCCUCCAGAGAUGAAACUCAUGCAUGUUCGGCGGCACCUUUGGCGGCCGAAACUCCCUUCCAGAGCCGAAAGUCCACUUUCGGGGGCAGGGUUCGGCAGUCAAAGGCUUGCCUCCACAGGCAGGUUCGGCGGCCGAAAGUCCCUUCGGCUGUCGAACCUGAGUUCUUCCAAAGGGUAGAACUCAGCCUCUUUCAUGCACAAAUGCCUCCCAACUCAUUCAACAUGCAUUUACCUAGCCUACAACAUGCAAACUCAAGCCAACAAGUACAUAGGGGUCUCAAACUAACUUAAACCCCAACCAAAACACAUCAAACAUACACAUACUACCCACAUUGCUCAUAAACAUAACAUAAACCUAUAAACUCAACAAUAACCUAAACAUGCAUUUUUACCCCAUAAAUCUUCAUAAAACUUGUUUAAAAUAUACAAGGAAGGUUGGAUCUAAGCUUACCUCUUGAAGAUCAAGAGGAAAGACGAACCUAGCUUGGAGAUGGGGAGAAAUCAACUCUUUGGUCUCCAAGCUUCAAAACUUGCUCUUUUGCUCAAAUAUCUUCAAACCAAGUGAAAACUCAUAAGAAAAUCAUGAAGAUUCGAAGGAAGAAGCUCAAAAUCGAUGAGGGACGGCGGAGAACUCACCUUGGCCGAAAACGGGGAGAAAAGCUCACCCGUUCGGACAUGGGGACCCCUUUAUAGGUGGCUGGCCAGGCCACUUUCAGGGCCUAACGUGCCUCCGCAUGCAUGCCAUGUUUGGCAGCCGAACCUGGACUUCCCUCAUUCAUGCCUUCGGGAGCCUAAAGCACUCCCGAAAUACAUGCAUGUUCGGCAGCCAAACUUGAGGUUCGGCGGCCGAACCUGGGUCUUCCUCCAAGGUUAUUUUCAUAUAAAACUCAUUUCCUUUCUUGCUUAAAACCAUAAAAUACAUUAAAAUAUUUUAUGAAAACAUGGUUUUACCCUUCUAGAGGUUUUUGACAUCUGUGAUUCCACCGGACGGUAGGAAUUUCGAUACCGAAGUCUAGCCGGGUAUUACAUGGCUGGCCAGACUACCUUUGGGGGCCAAAAGAGCGUCCGCAACAGGACCAUGUUCAGCGGUCGAACCUAGGCUUUUCCCCCCAAGGCAUUUCCUUCAAAAACUCACUUUUCUUUCUUCAUUAAAACCAUAAAAAGCAUUUUGUAAAAAUAUAUUUUACCCUUCUAGAGGUUCCGGUAUCCAAGAUUUCGGAUUCCAAUGGAGAUUCCAUCAGAAAGUUAGAAUUUCGACGCCGGAGUCUAGCCGGGUAUUACACUGUUUAUUUUGAGAUCGGUCGCCCCCACUUUCGACACUAUGAACAUCCCAUUUAUGAGGGCUUUGUAUUCCACCAUGUUAUUAGAGGCUGCAAACACCAGGCGCAGGACGUAGUAGACCUUGAUUCCCUAAUAUCCCUUCAAAAGCAUUCUAGCUCCACUGCCCCCAGCUAAACUCUCAUGGCGGUUGGUCUCCAUCCCUUCCUUCAACUGGGCUUGGCAACCCCUUUGCUCUGUUCCUGCCAUUCUGUGUUGAAGGAGCACUCGGCUAUGAAGUCAGCUAGGGCCUAGGCCUUAAUGGUUGUCCGAGGUCGGUAUUCAAGGCAAUACGAGCUGAUUUCAACAAACCAAGCCAACAUUCAUCCUGAGGUUUCAGGUCAGUGUAGAAUUUUCCUCAAGGGCUAAUCUGUCAUCACGAUUCGCUGGUGGCUCUCAAGGUAUACUCUAAAUUUCCUCAUCGCCAGCAAUAAGGCAAAUGUCAAUUUCUUUAUGUUCAUGUAUCUAACCUUAAUAUCUUUGAGCAUCUUGCUGACAUAAAAGAUUGGCUUCUGCUCUCCUCCUUCUUCUCUCACCAGCACGACGCUUAUGGCUUGUUCUGAGGCUGCUAGAUAUAUCAAGAGUUCUUCCCCGGCUAGUAGGCUGCUAAGCACAUGCGGUGAACUGAGGUAUUGCUUGAGAUUUUUGAAGGCCUCUUGGCAAUCCUCUGUCCAUUCGAAGUUUGGGACUUUCCUCAGCUUUUUGAAGAAUGGCAAGCAGCUUUUUGCAGAUUUUGCCAUAAAUCGGUUGAAUACUACCACCCUUCCUAUGAGCUUCUACACAUCCCUCACACAAGUCAGCUCUAGCAUCUUCAAUAUGGCUUCCACCCUCUCUGGGUUUGGCUUAAUGCCCUUCCCGCUAACCAUGUAGCCUAGGAAUUUUUCCUCUCUGAUAAAGAAAGCGCAUUUCAACGGGUUCAACCUCAUUUUGUACUACUUUAGUACCCCGAAUACUUCUUUUAGGUCAACCAAGUACUGCUGGAAGGUUUGGCUCUUCACCACCAUGUCAUCAACAUAUACUUCUACGUUUCUCUCUAUCUGGCCCUUGAAGAUUUUAUUUAUCGGUCGUUGAUAUGUCGCCCCUGCAUUUUUCAAUUCGAAGGGCAUGGCCUUGUAGCAAUAAGUCCCAUCUUUGAUUAUGAAUGAGGUCUUCUCUUCAUCCGAUCUGUCUAUAGAAACUUGAUGAUACCCAGACAUAGCAUCAAGGGACAAUAUAUAAUCAAAACUGGCUAUAGAAUCAACCAUUUUAUUUAUGUCGGGAAGGGGAUAACAAUUUUUGAGGCAGGCUUGGUUCAGGUCGAUAAAAUCUAUACACAUUUGGUAUUUGCCAUUGGCUUUUUUAACUAACACAGGGAUUGCUAACCACUGUGGAUACAUUACUUCCCUAAUGAACCCAGCCUCCUCUAGCUUUUAAACUUCUUCUCGAGUAGCUUGUUAUUUCUCCUUCUCGAACACCCUCUUCUUCUGCUUUAUUGGUUUUGCUCCGGGGAGAACAUUGAGCUUGUGGGUCAUCACCUCGAGGUCUAUUCCCGGCAUGUCAGAAGGCUUCCAGGCGAAGCUCGAGGCAUUUGGUCUCUGUCAAGGCUCGAAUUGAGGCUGAAGACUUUGUAAACUUCUUUUUCGGAUAAUGGAAAUGUCUCCAGCUCAUCAACGGGCUCUGUCCUGGUCUCCUUCUUUUCAUCCCGGACCUCUAUGAUCUCCAGAUUCACCUCCUCAGCUGCCGUGCUUGGCUCUGCCACCAUGGCCGGAUACACUGCUCAGGCUUCUUCUUGCCUCCCUUAGACUACUCCUACCCCUGCCUUAGUGGGAAAUUUCAUGGUCAAGUACCGGGUGCUGGUUACUGCUUCAAAAUCAUAUAGCACCGGCCUUCCCAAAAUGGUGUUGUAGCUUAAGGGAAGCUUCACCACGAGAAAAAUUGCAUAGUGAGUGCGCGAAAGGGGUGGUUCUCCCAAUGUUAGGGCCACCUUUACCUUCCUUUUCACUGCUACAGGGGUUCCCCCUAUCCCCUUGACCGAGGCCUGAUCCCUCACCAGCUGCUCCUCUGGUAUGUUCAUCUACUGAAAGACACUGUAGGACAGCAGGUUCACUUUACUCCCAUCGUCUACCAAGAUCUUGUGGACCCUAAAGUUGUGAAUGACGACCUCGAUGACUAAGGCAUCAUCGUUGGGCAUUUGGAUUCCAUGAGCAUCUUCAGGAGAAAAGGAGAUGGUCACUGGGGAGUGCUCUACUAUCUGUAGGACUUCAUUGCUGCUCCCCUCUCCAUUCCGGCUUCUCUUCUUCCCUCUCCUACUCAUCCGACCUCUAGUUCCUUCCACGAUCAUGUUAAUGGUUCCACUGGAGCCAUCAUUCAUUGGCCCUGCUCCCUGUCUAUGGGGUCUCUCUGCCACCACAUUCUGCUGGGGCCUCUCUCUUUCUGAUUUUUUCACAAAGUUUUAGAGGUGCCCCCUUUUGAUUAGCCUUUCUAUUUCAUUGAUUAGUUGGUAGCAGCUAUUGGUAUCGUGGCCGUGAGUCCGGUGGUAUUGGCAGUAUUUAUCUGGAUCCCUUCAGCUGGCCUCAGUUCUCAUGGGUUUAAGCCAUUGGAUGAAGUCUUUGUCUUGCAUUUCCAUGAGUACUUCGGCUCUGAUACAUUCAGAGGGGUGAUGGCCUCAGGGAUCCAUGGCUGGUAAGUUUUAUGCUCUCUUCUAUCCUAGGGUUGUCUGUUCAUUUCAGGUCCCCGAUUCUGCCUCCUCUCCUACCUCUCGAGCCUUCUCUCCUGUAACAUCCUCAAACCCAUAGCUAGAGUGGUGCCCUCCUUAGAUAUGAGUUAGGCUAUUUCACUACUAGAGUAAGUGGCAUUAAGGGAGGUGCUAGCUUAACUCUAAUAUGCUAAUAACUGAAUCAUAGAAAACGCAAAUAAAGAAACGGACGUAUGCAGAAAUAAAGUAGACAGUGUGAUUAGCGAGUCGGGAAUGAGUCACUUUUAGGAGGUGCUUAGGGUUUCCCGACGUGCUUGCUUGAGGUGCUUGUUUAAUCAGGCUUGCGUGCUUAAGUAAAAAGGACUUCUAAAGGCUAAAUGUAUAGUUUAGUACGUCAAUCUAUGAUUAUUGAAAGUUUGAAAACUAAAUUGAAACAUGGUAAAGAGUUUAGUAGGUUAAAGUAUAAAUAUGGAAAGUUAAAACAUAAAAUAUAGUUUACCCAACAUGUGUCACCUAACUAAGGAAAGAAGAAUUGACAAAGCAAAAUGAAAAAGGGAUUAUCUUCUCCCUUCCUCCACAUUGCCGUAGGUCACCCAUUUUCAAAGAAAAAGAAUUGCUUUUCUUUCUCCCACCAAAGCCAAGCCAAACUUUCACCCAAUCAAUGUCUUUCUUUAACCAAAAUUCAUUCUAAGGUCAAGAACUAAAGGAACAGCCAUAUAGUGAAAGAAUUGAAGAAGAAAAGUUUAGGGUUCCAUAUACACCAAGCUUGAAAAUCAAAGGUAAGCUUAUAAAUGAGUAGGAAAUGGCAUCUUCUCAUUUCUUCAUGCAUGAAUUUGAAUUAUAAAGCUUUAAUUUACAAUUUAUUCAAUCCUUUCCUAAUACAUAAAUCUACCUAGGUGAAGGAACAUCAAAGGGAAAGGAGAUAGCUAGAGAUUAGAAGAGGAAAAGAAAAGAAGAAAUUCAAGAAAGGUUUGGUGUUUCUUUGAUUUUCUGUUUUCCUUGAAUUUUCUCAUGGACAUAUGAAGUUGGAGAUUGAUUUUACUUGCUGAAAAUGUUGCUUUGAUUGUAUAAAUAUGUUAUAUGAAUGUUAAAAUGGUGUUUGAAAGGCUUAGAGUAAAGAAACUUAACAUGAGAGCUAAAACUGCAAAUCUGGCAGAAUAGGUUUUAGCAGGGCAGCUUGUGUUACCAACUUCAUAACUUAUUCUGUAUUUAUGUAAAUUAGGCCUAAAAUAUACCAAAUGAAAGCUAAGACAAAUAGCUAAAACUUUUAUGAUUGACCAAAUUCGAAAUCUGUAGGUAAGAUGAUGAAAAUGGCAAGUGAACCUAAACUGGACACAGUGGUAGUGCAUCCAAAAUAGAGUCUAUUGAGUAUACCAUAACUAAUUAUGUACUCAGUGAAAUUUGUUAAGACCGGUGCCAAAUGAAUCUUAAGAAGUAUGCUUAAAACUUUAUAGAAGACACCUAAGCUUCAAUUUAUAUGAAAAUGCAUGAAUCUGAUAAGUUUUGUGAUACUAUAAACAAGUACCAAUACUGGACUGAUUAAGACCUUAUUGAGUAGCUUGUAAAGAAAAAUUCAUAACUUAAGUUAGGAUGAUCAGAUUUGCAUGAACCAUACCUUUUUGGGAAGAUAAGACAUAAAUAUACAUUUUUUAUGAAGAAACUAAAGUCAAAUUAUAACUCUAAACUACUUGAAAAGUUUAUGCAAGAUAUGGCAGAAUGCAGUUUUCCCAAAUUGGAAUGCUUUGUUGACAAAGUUUUUAUGUACCAUUUGCCUUGCAUUUCUCAUCUUGUUACCUUUGACAUAAGAAGUAUAUAUUCUGGACAUGAAUUCAAAUAGCUUCAAAUGAUAUUCAUUUACACUGAAUUAAUGAUACUUGGCUCUGGUAAACGUAAUAGGAGUCGAGGAUAGUUUAAGGGUAUGGCAUGCCAUAUAAACAUACAGAGUUCGCAGUACUGCUACCGAUACAUGAUCUAUAUUUGAGGUUACAUAUCUGGUACCUCAUAAGCAUGGCCACAGAGUCCUGCUAUCACAGUUUUGGCCUCUGAGCCUACCGUUCGGCACCCUGUGCCUACCGUUAUAACUCCUUAUCUACCUAGUCGAUCCUACUAUGUGUUUAUAAGGGCUAAGAUCUUAAUUAAAAUUGAUACUUGAUUUUGUGACCUUAUUGGUGAAUGUUAACAUAUUUGCAUCUACUAACUUGUAAUUGUUUACUUGAUUAUCUAUAUAUGUGAACUUGUUUGUUUUAUUUUGUUAUUUGUUUGCUAUCACCCACUGAGCAUUAGCUCAGCGUGUUGGUUUUUACCUCACGCAGGUUGUAGAUAAAGUAGGCACGCGAAGUUCAUCAGAGGUCUACAUCAGAUAUCAAGGCCAUUAUCAUAGCUGGUUGUUUUGAGUCUCUGAGUCAUAGUGCAAUUAUAUUUUGGCAUGUACAUAUUUAAUAGAGUAAGUUGUAAAGGUUAUGUAAUCAAAGAAUAGUAAGAUGUCAAAUAUCAGUUGAUAAUUUUUCAUGUGUUUUUCAUAUGUGCUACAGGUUGAAAUAUUGAUGAAACAGAUGAGACUCUGCUAACUUUUUGGUUUAAAAUCUCACAUUUAUUUUAAUCACUUGAUGAAAUUUACAUGCAUUACCUUAAAACUUGGUAUUUACAGAUAAAGGUAAUUGUUUAGUCUUGAUAUGUCUAAUAAGGUAUAGUUUGUGAUAGUCCUUGCUCUAUCUACACUGUGAUAGGGUAAGGGGUGUUACAAUUAGUGGUAUCAAAGCAAAGGUUUAGGCGAUUCUAGGUCAUAGUAUGUUUGUUUACAUGUGUAGUAUAUGUACAUGCCAAAAUGAGUUACAACUAUGGUAUGGUUCUGAUGUAAAUCUCUUCUUUGUGUGUUUAGGUCAUAUAAAAGAUGUCAUCUGAGUCACAGAGAGCAGUAGAUGAAGAGGUAGAGAGUCAUGCUCCUUUUGAGGCAGCUGCACCUCCUACUGCUCCUUCACCUCCUGCUGCUGCUCCUCCACCACCACCACCUGUAGCAGUCCAGGUUCCCCUACCUGUUGUAGCCCAGGCACAAUCUAGGCCUCCAAUAGAAAAACUCAAGAAGUAUGGUGCUACGGAAUUUAGAGGUAAAAAAGAAGAUGAUCCUUCAGCUACAGAAUUCUGGUUAGAAAGUACAGAAAGGGUUUUACAGCAGCUACAGUGUUCACCAGCAGAGAGCUUGAUGUGUACAAUAUCAUUGCUAAAAGAUGAAGCUUAUAGAUGGUGGACAACAUUAACACAGAUGAUUCGACCAGAGCGAAAGACUUGGAAAUUCUUUUUGGCAGAGUUUAAGAAGAAAUAUGUUGGGGCUUUAUAUAUAGAGGAGAGAAGGAGGGAGUUCUUAUACCUCAGACAGGACAGGCUUACAGUAACUGAGUAUGAGCGAGAAUUUGUCAGACUUAGUAAGUAUGCCACAGAGAUAGUUCCUAUAGAGGAAGAAAGAUGUAAACGCUUUGAGCAAGGAUUGCAUGCUGAUAUCAGGAUGUACCUCACAGCUAUGCACAUCAGGGAACUUUCAGUUUUAGUAGAGACGGCCCAUAGCCUGGAGCGAAUUAAAGAAGAAGAGCAAAGUAGAAAGCAGAAAGGGCAGCAGAAGAGGAGCCAGAGCCAGUAUCAGGGACAAUCCUCUGUAUCUCAAACAAGUAGUAAGAGACAGAGGGAAUUUCAGCAGAUAGUGCAGAGAGGACCACUUAGGCAGAGUCAGAGACCUGGGCAGAGUUUAGGAGUAAGGUCUGGACAGCAGACUACCUCAGUAUCUAGUACAGCAGGACCAAGUAAAGGGUUGCCACCAGUAUGUGAGCAUUGUGGCAGGAGACAUGGUGGAGUAUGCAGGAGAUUAACUGGGGCUUGCUACUUAUGUGGAAGCUCAGACCACUUUAUGAGGGAUUGUCCUAGAGGCCAGUCAGUGCAGCCUAUGCAAACAGAGAGAUCUAUGCCGACAGGGACUAGAGGCAGAGGUAGAGGUAGAGGUGAAUCUAGUAAUGCUCAGAGUCACGGAGUAUCAAAGACAGUAGAUAGACCAGAUACUAGAGCACCUGCCAGGGCCUAUGCUAUUCGUGCAAAGGAAGACCAGGACAAACCAGAUGUUAUAGCUGGUAAAUUUUCUAUAUUUGGCAAAUAUGUUUAUGCAUUAAUUGAUCCUGGUUCCACACAUUCAUACAUCAGCAUACCCAUCAAUAAUGAGAAGGGAAUUGAAGUAGAAUCUUUAGAACAUGACAUAGCAGUGACCAAUCCCUUAGGACAUCUUGUGAUUGUGAAUAGAGUUUACAGAGAUUGUCCUAUAUGUGUGCAAGGUCACACCUUUUUAGGUGACCUGAUAGAGUUAUCUUUUAGAGAGUUUGAUGUGAUCUUGGGUAUGGAUUGGUUGUCUAGACAUCAUGUCAUAGUUGAUUGUAAGUUAAAACGAGUUACACUCAAAACAUUAGAGGGUUAUGAGGUUAUAGUUGUGGGUGAGAGGUCAGAUUACCUCUCUAAUGUCAUAUCUGCCACUACAGCUAGGAGGUUGAUUAGAAAAGGUUGUACAGCUUAUCUAGCUAGUGUGAUUGAGACUAAGAAGGAAGGUCCUAGUGUGUCAAACCUACCCACAGUAUGUCAUUUUCCAGAUGUAUUUCCUGAAGAGUUGCUAGGGUUACCUCCAGAAAGGGAAGUGGAUUUUGCUAUAGAAGUUGUGCCAGGCACUGCACCUAUUUCAAUUGCUCCUUACAGAAUGACUCCUACAGAAUUGAAAGAGUUGAAAAUAUAGUUACAAGAGUUACUUGAUAAGGGUUUUAUUCGACCUAGUGUUUUACCAUGGGGUGCACCAGUGUUGUUUAUGAAAAAGAAAGAUGGAUCUCUUCGGUUGUGCAUUGAUUACAGACAGUUGAAUAAGGUAACUGUAAAGAAUAAAUAUCCACUGCCUAGAAUAGAUGAUUUGUUUGAUCAAUUGAAAGGGGCCAGCCUUUUCUCUAAAAUAGAUUUGAGAUCGAGUUACCAUCAGUUGAGAGUUAGAGGGGUAUAUGUGCCUAAGACUGCAUUCAGGACACGAUAUGGACAUUAUGAGUUUCUGGUUAUGCCAUUUGGGUUAACAAAUGCACCUGCAUCAUUCAUGGAUCUAAUGAACCGAAUCUUCCAUCCAUAUUUAGACCAGUUUGUUGUAGUAUUCAUUGAUGAUAUUCUGGUAUACUCUAAAACCAGAGAAGACCAUGACAGGCAUCUGAGGGUAAUAUUACAGACUCUGAGGGAAAAGCAACUUUAUGCCAAGUUUAGUAAAUGUGAUUUUUGGCUCGAUGAAAUAGCAUUUUUGGGACAUGUUGUAUCAGCAGAGGGAAUUAGGGUAGAUCCCCAGAAAAUUAAAGCUGUUCUAGAAUGGAAGCCACCAAAGAAUGUUGCAGAGAUCAGGAGUUUCUUGGGUCUAGCUGGGUACUACAGACGGUUUGUGAAAGGGUUUUCACUUAUAGCAGCUCCAUUAACUAAAUUACUACAUAAGGAUGUUAAGUAUGUUUGGGAUGAUAGAUGUCAGGCAAGCUUUGACAGAUUGAAGACUAUGCUCACCGAAGCACCUAUACUUACACAACCUGUUUCUGGUAAGGAAUUUGUGAUAUAUAGUGAUGCUUCUCACAAUGAACUUGGAUGUGUUUUGAUGCAAGAAGGUAUGCUUCUCGACAAUUGAAGCCACAUAAGAAGAACUAUCCUACCCAUGAUCUAGAGUUGGCGGCCAUAGUUUUUGCACUAAAGAUAUGGAGACAUUACUUAUAUGGUGAGAAAUGUUAUAUCUAUAUAGAUCAUAAAAGUCUAAAAUACUUACCCACACAAAAGGAGCUAAACCUGAGACAGAGAAGAUGGUUGGAAUUACUGAAAGAUUAUGAUUGCAUUAUAGAUUAUCACCCAGGCAGAGCUAAUCUAGUAGUAGAUGCACUGAGCAGGAAAUCCUUAUUUGCAUUAAGAGCAAUGAAUGUGCGGUUAACUAUAGCAGAUGAUGGAGCUAUCGUAACAGAAUUGAAAGUUAGACCCAACAUACUGCAACAAAUUAAAGAAGCACAUAAAGAAGAUACAGAAAUAGCUUUAUGGACUAGACAAGUACAAGAGGGGAAGAAGCAGAAGCAUGUGAUAAGUGAUGAUGGUUACUUAUACUAUGGUAACAGAGUAUGUGUACCUAACAUUGGAGAGUUGAAACAGAGUAUUCUUACAGAGGCACACAACAGUCCAUAUGUUAUGUAUCCAGGUAGCACUAAGAUGUAUCAAGAUCUGAGGGUGCAUUAUUGGUGGCCAGGUAUGAAAAGAGAUAUAGCUAAAUUUGUAACAAAAUGUUUAACAUGUCAACGGGUAAAAGCAGAACUUCAGGUUCCAUCAGGAUUAUUGCAGCCUAUCGCUAUACCAGAAUGGAAAUGGGAUAGAAUUACCAUGGAUUUUGUGACAGGAUUGCCACUCACACCAAGAAAGAAAGAUGCCAUCUGGGUAAUAGUUGACAAGUUAACUAAAUCAGCACAUUUCCUGCCAAUCAGAAUGGAUUAUACAUUAGAAAAGUAUGUAGAAUUAUACAUUAGAAAAGUAUGUAGAAUUAUACAUUAAUGAAAUUGUGAGACUGCAUGGUGUUCCUAUCUCUAUCAUAUCAGACAGAUAUCCAAGAUUCACAUCCAGAUUCUGAGAAAAACUAUAUGAAGCUCUAGGGACAAGAUUGAAUUUUAGUACAGCUUUUCAUCCUCAGACAGAUGGCCAGUCAGAGAGAGUAAUUCAAGUUUUAGAAGACAUGCUCAGAAGUUGUGUAAUUGAAUUUGAAGGAAGCUGGGAAAGAUAUCUCCCACUAGUGGAAUUUGCUUACAACAACAGUUAUCAGGCUAGUAUUAAAAUGGCUCCUUAUGAAGCCUUAUAUGGCAGAAAAUGUAGAACCCCAUUAUGCUGGACAGAACUUAGUGAAGCUAAACUUGUAGGUCCAGAGUUGGUAAGACAGACUGAGGAGAAAGUGAAGAUUAUCAAAGAAAGAUUGAAAGCUGCGACAGAUAGACAAAAAUCCUAUGCAGAUUUGAGAAGAAAAGAUAUAGAAUUUGCUGUUGGGGACAAAGUGUUUCUAAAAGUUUCUCCAUGGAAGAAAGUGCUAAGAUUUGGCAAGAAAGGUAAGCUAAGCCCUCGGUUUAUUGGUCCAUAUGAAAUAAUUGAACGUGUGGGUCCAGUAGCCUAUAGGCUAGCUUUACCUCCAGAGUUAGACAGAAUACACAAUGUCUUCCAUGUAUCCAUGUUAAGAAGAUACAGAUUGGAUCCUUCACAUGUCAUUCCAGCUGAAACCAUUGAUGUACAACCUGAUUUAACUUAUGAAGAAGAACCAGUGAAAAUUUUAGCAAGGGAAAUGAAAGAGUUAAGAAAUAAGAAGAUUCCCUUAGUGAAAGUGUUGUGGAGAGAUCACAAGGCAGAAGAAGCUACAUGGGAAACUGAAGAAGUGAUGAAGCAACAAUAUCCACAGCUAUUCAAAGCAGGUAAAAUUUCGAGGACGAAAUUUCUUAAGAGGGGAAGAGUUGUAACAUCCUCAAACCCAUAGCUAGAGUGGUGCCCUCAUUAGGUAUGAGUUAGGCUAUUUCACUACUAGAGUAAGUGGCAUUAAGGGAGGUGCUAGCUUAACUCUAAUAUGCUAAUAACUGAAUCAUAGAAAACGCAAAUAAAGAAACAGACGUAUGCAGAAAUAAAGUAGACAGUGUGAUUAGCGAGUCGGGAAUGAGUCACUUUUGGGAGGUGCUUAGGGUUUCUCGACGUGCUUGCUUGAGGUGCUUGUUUAAUCCGUCUUGCUUGCUUAAGUAAAAAGGACUUCUAAAGGCUAAAUGUAUAGUUUAGUACGUCAAUCUAUGAUUAUUGAAAGUUUGAAAACUAAAUUGAAACAUGGUAAAGAGUUUAGUAGGUUAAAGUAUAAAUAUGGAAAGUUAAAACAUAAAAUAUAGUUUACCCAACAUGUGUCACCUAACUAAGGAAAGAAGAAUUGACAAAGCAAAAUGAAAAAGGGAUUAUCUUCUCCCUUCCUCCACAUUGCCGUAGGUCACCCAUUUUCAAAGAAAAAGAAUUGUUUUUCUUUCUCCCACCAAAGUCAAGCCAAACUUUCACCCAAUCAAUUUUUUUUCUUUAACCAAAAUUCAUCCUAAGGUCAAGAACUAAAGGAACAGCCAUAUAGUGAAAGAAUUGAAGAAGAAAAGUUUAGGGUUCCAUAUACACCAAGCUUGAAAAUCAAAUGUAAGCUUAUAAAUGAGUAGGAAAUGGCAAGCUUAUAAAUGAGUAGGAAAUGGCAUCUUCUCAUUUCUUCAUGCAUGAAUUUGAAUUAUAAAGCUUUAAUUUACAAUUUAUUCAAUCCUUUCCUAAUACAUAAAUAUACCUAGGUGAAGGAACAUCAAAGGGAAAGGAGAUAGCUAGAGAUUAGAAGAGGAAAAGAAAAGAAGAAAUUCAAGAAAGGUUUGGUAUUUCUUUGAUUUUCUGUUUUCCUUGAAUUUUCUCAUGGACAUAUGAUGUUGGAGAUUGAUUUUACUUGCUUAAAAUGUUUCUUUGACUGUAUAAAUAUGUUAUAUGAAUGUUAAAAUGGUGUUUGAAAGGCUUAGAGUAAAGAAACUUAACAUGAGAGCUAAAAGUGCAAAUCUGGCAGAAUAGGUUUUAGCAGGGCAGCUUGUGUUACCAACUUCAUAACUUAUUCUGUAUUUAUGGAAAUUAGGCCUAAGAUAUACCAAAUAAAAACUAAGACAAAGAGCUAAAACUUUUAUGAAUUGACUAAAUUCGAAAUCUGUAGGUAAGAUAAUGAAAAUGGCAAGUGAACCUAAACUGGACACAGUGGCAGUGCAUCCGGAACAGAGUCUAUUGAGUAUACCAUAACUAAUUAUGUACUCAGUGAAAUUUGUUAAGAAUGGUGCCAAAUGAAUCUUAAGAAGUAUGCCUAAAACUUUGUAGAAGACACUUAAGUUUGAAUUUAUAUGGAAAUACAUGAAUCUGAUAAGUUGUGUGAUAUUAUAAACAAGUACCAAUACUGGACUGAUUAAGACCUUAUUGAGCAUCUUGUAAAGAAAAAUUCAUAACUUAAGCUAGGAUGAUCAGAUUUGCAUGAACCAUACCUUGUUGGAAAGAUAAGACAUAAAUGUACAUUUUUUAUGAGAAACUGAAGUCAAAUUAUAACUCUAAACUACUUGAAAAGUUUAUGCAAGAUAUGGCAGAAUGCAGUUUUCCCAAAUUGGAAUGCUUUGUUGACAAAGUUUUUAUGUACCAUUUGCCUUGCAUUUCUCAUCUAGUUACCUUUGACAUAAGAAGUAUAUAUUCUGGACAUGAAUUCAAAUAGCUUCAAAUGAUAUGCAUUUACACUGAAUUAAUGAUACUUGGCCCUGGUAAACGUAAUAGGAGUCGAGGAUAGUUUAAGGGUAUGGCAUGCCAUAUAAACAUACAGAGUUCGCAGUACUACUACCGAUACAUGAUCUAUAUUUGAGGUUACAUAUAUGGUACCUCAUAAGCAUGGCCACAGAGUCCUGUUAUCACAGUUUUGGCCUCUGAGCCUACCGUUCGGCACCCUGUGCCUACCGUUAUAACUCCAUAUCUACCUAGUCGAUCCUACUAUGUGUUUAUAAGGACUAAGAUCUUAAUUAAGAUUGAUACUUGAUUUUGUGACCUUAUUGGUGAAUGUUAACAUAUUUGCAUCUACUAACUUGUAAUUGUUUACUUGAUUAUCUAUAUAUGUGAACUUGUUUGUUUUAUUUUGUUAUUUAUUUGCUAUCACCCACUAAGCAUUAGCUCAGCGUGUUGAUUUUUACUUCACGCAGGUUGUAGAUAAAGUAGGCACGCGAAGUUCAUCAGAGGUCUACAUCAGAUAUCAAGGCCAUUAUCAUAGCUGGUUGUUUUGAGUCUCUGAGUCAUAGUGCAGUUAUAUUUUGGCAUGUACAUAUUUAAUAGAGUGAGUUGUAAAGGUUAUGUAAUCAAAGAAUAGUAAGAUGUCAAAUAUCAGUUGAUAAUUUUUCAUGUGUUUUUCAUAUGUGCUACAGGUUGAAAUAUUGAUGAAACAGAUGAGACUCUGCUAACUUUUUGGUUUAAAAUCUCACAUUUAUUUUAAUCACUUGAUGAAAUUUACAUGCAUUACCUUAAAACUUGGUAUUUACAGAUAAAGGUAAUUGUUUAGUCUUGAUAUGUCUAAUAAGGUAUAGUUUGUGAUAGUCCUUACUCUAUCUACACUUUGAUAGGGUAAGGGGUGUUACAUCUCCUCCAUAGCCUUCCCCCUGUCUCCAGCCUCCCUGGCGAACCUGUUGGUAGUUAAGGUGUCAUUGACUCGCGGUUGUCAAAGCCGGUCAAAAAUAACCUUUCUGGUUACCAACAAUUUUAUAUUUGCAGAUAGUGGUGAAAGGAUCGAAUCCACAGAGAAUUGAGAACUCAACUAUUUCUCUUUUUAUGACCAAGAAAAUAAACUGAAACGAUAAUAAAUUAAAAAUGAGAUAAAAGACUGAAAGUGGGAUCAAAUGAGAUAAACUGAAAAUUGGGAUCAAAACUGUCAACAAAAUAACAGGGGGGUUUUGAGAUUGAUUGUAGUAAACUAAUAAUGAGAAUAAUAAUGGAAAGCAAAUAAUUAAAUAAAAAGUAAUCAAUAAUGAGAAAGCUCUAGUUGAAGUAUUGGAUCCACUUUAGUUGUUGGGAUUGAUCACAUACACUUUGUUCUUUUGGGUUGAUUCAAUAGAUUAGUUAUGGAGAUGGAAUAAGAUUCUCAAUACCAUUAUCUCUCCUUAUUAUUAAAUUAAUUAGGGAACGUCCUCUAAUCAAUUACUAAUUAACAAGUUGCCAAGGAACGUCCUUGGGCCUCAGGCAAUAAACAACUGUCAAUUGCAUUAAGAAAUAGAGAGAUCCAAUCCUAGCUACCCAAACGUAUGGAGAUAACGCUAGAUCAUGCAACUUCCUUGGUUUUUAUGCCAAGUGUUCUCAUGUAAGAAUAAUCUAAGCAAUUACGGACUUAAAUCAUUCAAACUAACAAUUAAUUAUUUUGCAAUAAAAAAUCAACGUAGAUCUCAAUAACAAAGUAAUAUGAGAAUUAAGUAUAAAAUUGCAUGAAUAUUGAACUCCCAAAAGUUAAACAAUAUUUGAUCAAGUCUCACAACCCAUUAAACAACUAAAACUUCAACCAAUAUUCAACUAGAUUAAAGAAAUCAGCCACUCAUUGGCUGAAUUAAAAACAGAAAAAUAAAAGGAAAAAGAAAGGAACCGAAGAUGGGAGGUGGAGAGCUCCUUGCGCGCCGAUCCUUGCAAGAAGAGAAGAGAGUGAUUCAAUUCUCCUUUUGUCGGCCGCUUAAGUGUCCCUUAUAUAGGAUUAGGGAGGCUGAUUUUAGGUUUUCAAUUGCUGUCCACGUGAGGUGAGUGUCCCAUGUGCGUGAAGGUGCAGUCCAUGUGGAGUGAGCGUUGAAGCGCUUUGGCGGGAGCUUAGUCCACGUGAAGUGAGCGUUGAAGCGGAUCCAUGUGCAUGUGUCCCACGCUUGCCUAUGUGAGGCGUGUGGCUUGGUCAUGAGUGCAAGGUGGAGUCCAUGUGCGCGAGCUUGCUUUGGCGGGCCCUUGUGCAUGAACGUGCGGUCCAUGGUUGCAAGAGUGGGCCGUCCAUGAUUGCAAGAGUGGGCCGUCCCUGAUUGCAAGAAAGGGCUGCCCAAAUGCCAAGUCGCUUGAAUAUUUAAAUUUCAAAAUAUUUUCCUCAUUCAGUUUGACUCGAAUCCAACUUGACAGGCUUGCUCUCUUCUGCUCCAAAUAAGGCAGUUUUAGGGGGAUUUUCUCCAAAUUGUCCUUUUACACCAUUUUCUGCAAAAUAAUAUUAAAAGCACUAAAUUAAGCAGAAAUCAUGUAAAUAUUUAUCAAUAAUAUUAAUAUAAAUUGGACUAAAUUAUGCUCUAUCAAAUACCCCACACCUAGCCUUUUGCUUGUCCUCAAGCAAAUAAACAUUGUCAAAUAAGCUUUCUUACUCUAGAUCCUUAUUUCCACUUAAGCUCUUACUCAAGACACCUAUUUUGAAUCAUUGCAGUGAAAGCUUCUUUCCUUGUUUCCCUUUACUUACCAUGGCUAGGAUUUGUUUUCCUCAAGAAAGACCAUACAUGCACAUUUUUGUUAAGACUUUUUCUAGCUUUCAGAGUGACUUGCCCUUACCUUGAAGUACUUUAUUCAGGCUUUUGGACUUAGAUUUUGCUUGAAAAAGUCACCAACCUUUUGAUGUGAAGCUACAUAUUUGUAAUACCCACCCCCAGUUACUCAGUUGGUCACCUGUCCAAGUGGCUACUAGCUCUGUUCAUAGUCUUUUGACCAUUGGAACAAUUUUUUUACUUUGUGCUUUUGUGGUCUUUGCCUUUGCUGAAUUUUCUUUCUCUCAAUGAUUUGGGCAAAUCAACACCAAUUGCUAAAACAAGUCACAUUAAGUUCAUUCACACAACUUUUAAUUUAUUUUCUCUAAUGAGGGUCAUCACUAUAUGUUUCACCAUGGCAAACUCAAAUAUUCAAUUCAAAAGGCAAUUCUCAAACAUGAAUAUAACUCACUGCAAUUGAUUCAACAUAAGUUUAAAGAGUUAUCACAUCAAUGGGGUCAUGGAAAGAAAAGCUCAUCCAACAUAGUUCAUAUGAUGAGUAAAGCAUCUCAAAAACGGAAACAAAAUAAAUAAAAAAAAAACUGUGGCUAUCUGUGUGUGUUAUUGAAAGCAAAAAUAAAAAAAAUAAAAAAACAUUCAACUGUGGCUAAUCGGAUCGAAGCAAAAUCGUAGAAGGGAAACUGAAAGGAGAAGAAAACGCAAAACUGAAAGGAAAAAUGCAAAAAUUGAAGUUUCAGAUUUACGCACCCCCAUACCUAAAUCAUGCAUUGUCCUCAAUGUAUUGAAAAUAUUAAAAUGCAAGAGAAACUGAGUACUCCCCUAGGGUGUGGAGUGCAAUAUGCGAUUCCUUAGGCUGACUGAGAUGGAGGGAGUAGUGGAAUUUCUUCCACCACUUACACUGCAAAUCCUUCGUAGUAUGGUUUCAGACGAUGUCCAUUCACCUUGAAAAUCUUUCCAGUCUCAAUGCUUCGGAUGUCUAUAGCUCCAUGGGGAUAGGCAUGUUCCACAAUGAAUGGCCCAAUCCACCUAGAUCGUAGCUUUCCUGGAAACAAUUUUAAACGAGAAUCAAAAAGUAAGACUUUAUCACCAACCUCAAAGUGUUUUCUUGAAAUCUGAUUGUCAUGGGAGGCUUUGGUUUUGGCUUUGUAGUUCCAAGAAGUCUCAUAGGCAUCUCGUCUUAUCUCUUCUAGCUCUUGCAAUUGCAAUUUGCGAUUGUGGCCAGCCUCUGUGAGAUUCAUGUUGCAACUCUUAACUGCCCAAUAGGCCUUGUGCUCAAGUUCAACUGGAAGAUGACAUGCUUUCCCAUAGACCAAUCUGUAAGGAGACAUACCUAUAGGGGUCUUGUAGGCUGUUCUGUAGGCCCAUAAAGUAUCUUCCAAUCUUGUACUCCAAUCCUUUCUGUUGGGGGAUACUGUCUUUUUAAGGAUGGCCUUGAUUUCUCUGUUGGACACUUCAGCUUGCCCAUUUGUCUGAGGGUGGUAGGCAGUGGAUGUUCUAUGUAUGACAUUAUGUUUUCUGAGAAGGUUUUCUACUAUCUUGUUGCAAAAGUGAGUCCCUCUAUCACUGAUGAUUGCUUUGGGUACUUCAUGUCUGGCAAAAAUGUUGGUCUUUACAAAGUCUACUACUGCCUUGGCAUCAUCAGUCUUUGUUGCUCUAGCUUCCACCCACUUGGACACAUAAUCUACUGCAAGGAUGAUGUAAGUGUAUCCAAAGGAUGGUGGGAAUGGACCCAUGAAGUCUAUGCCCCAAACAUCAAAUACCUCACAUACCAUGAUAGGAUUCUGUGGCAUUUGAUUUCUUUUGUUCAGAUUUCCAAUUUGUUGGCAUCUUGCAUAUGAUCUGCAAAACAAGAAAGCAUCUCGAAAAAUAGUGGGCCAAAAUAGGCCACUUUCAAGUAUUUUAUGAGCAGUUUUUCUUGGGCCAAAGUGCUCACCACAACUAUAUGAAUGGCAAAAAGUAAGUACUGAAGCUAUAUCUUGGUCUAGAAUACAUCUCCUUAUCAUUUGAUCAGAAUAAUAUUUCCACAAAUAUGACUCAUCCCAAACAUAGUAUUUGGCAUCUUUCUUGAUUUUAUCUCUUGUGUGUUUUGGCAUAUCAGAAGGCAAGUUACCUGUGGCUAAGUAGUUUACUAUGUCUGCAUACCAUGGCUCAUCAGUUUGAGCAUGAAAAAUUUGCUCGUAGAAAACAUUCUCAACUUCCUCAGAUUCGGAAAGGGAUGUCUGUGUUGGACUCUUGUCAGAAAGGGUUUCAGAUUGCUUACCUUGCGCAGGACUGGCCUCAGGGAACUCCUUGUGCGCAAAACUGGACUGCAGAAGAGGACUGGCAGGUGUGCUUUGCGUUAGGAGCUGAAGAGUUGCGCAUGAAGGUGUUUCAGAUGGCGCAAGGCUCUUCUGCGCAUCCUUCCGGAGGGAGUUUCCUUCGUUCUGUGCUUGACUGUAAUGCACCUGUUGGAUGCAACAGACAGUUUCUUUCAGUUUUGGCUCUGUCUGGCUCUCAUUCCUGCAAAGAUCAUCAUUCAGAAAAUCAUCUUGAUUUUUAUCAAAAACUUCCUGGCUCAAGCAGUCAAUAAUAUCUAGACCAUAAACAGGGGACAUAUAAUGUGGAUAUUUCAUAGCAUCAUAAACAUUAAAUUUAAUCACUUCCCCUUCAAACUCCAUAGUUAAUGUGCCAUCAUGCACAUCAAUCUUAGUCCUAGCAGUACUCAAGAAAGGACGUCCAAGAAGAAUGUCAGAAGUAGUGUUACAACUGUCUUCCUUAGUAUCAAUCACAUAAAAAUCUGCAGGAAAGACAAGUUCAUCUACUUGCACUAGAACAUCUUCUAGUACUCCUAUAGGAUGUACCACAGAUAUGGCAGCCAAUUGAAUGACUACUCUUGUGUCUUUCAGUGCACCUGUAUUCAAAGAAUGAUAAAUAGAAAGAGGCAUAACAUUAAUUGAUGCACCAAGAUCACACAUGACUUUCUUAAUUCCAACAUUGCCUAUCUUGCAAGCUAUUGCAAACAUGCCUUUAUCUUUGCACUUAGUAGAGAGUUCUCUUUUAAUAACAGCAGUCACAACCUCUCCUACACUUACUUUUUCUCUUUCUGCAAGCUUUCUUCUAUUAGUGCAAAGUUCUUUCAGAAAUUUAGCGUACCUAGAAAUCUGCUUAACAGCAUCUAGCAGAGGUAUAUUGAUUUGUACUUUUCUGAAAGUAUCAAAAAUCUCCUUUUCUUCUUUUUCUUUUUGUGUUCUUUCAAAUCUCUUGGGAAAAGGAGGUGGAAUGUGAAAACUUACUUUCGGAUCAGCCUUGUGCGCAGGGGGGACUUCAGUUUGCGCAAGAGUGGCUUCCGGAGAGGGUGUUUGCGCAAUAUGCUCUUCUGCAAUGGGUUCUUGCGCAUGGCCCUCCCUUUCAUCUGUCUGUCUGGGGUUAGUUUCAGUUUGAGAAGGGAGUUUACCUUGUGACUCAAGUUUGCUCAUGGAGGUGGCCAUUUAUCCUAUCUGUUGUUGGAGAGCCUGUACAGAGUGUGUAAGUGUCUCCAUCAUCUUUUCAAGGUGUUGGACUAAACUUGGAGGUGCUGGUUGGGCUUGAUUUCUUUGAUAAUUCUGAUAAUUAUUAGCCCUUCCAUAGCUCAAGUUUGGGUGGUCUCUCCAGCCAGGAUUGUAUGUGUUUGAAUAUGGAUCAUUCCUAGGCUGGUUGUAUCCUCCAAUGGCAUUAACUUGAUGAUUAUCUUCUUGAAGGGUAGGACAUUGAUCAGUGGGGUGUCCUACAUAAGCACAAAUACCACAUGGCCUAGGAGGCUGAGGUGGUGGAGCCUGUUGUGUUUGGCCUAAGAUAAAAUUUUUCAUGACAGAGGUUAGUUUAGAAAGCUGAGAUGCAAUGGUGGAAGUACUUACCUCAUUGGCUCCUCUCUGCAGUUGUUUUUCUUCUCCAUAUUGCCUAGAAGAGGCUGCAAGGGUGGAGAUCAAUUCUCUCAUCUCCCUAGGUGUCUUAUCUUCAAUCUUUCCUCCACAGGCAACAUCAAUGAAUUUUCUUUCUGAAGAUAGCAGGCCUCCAUAGAAAAAUUCUAUGAGUGACUUAUCUGAAAUAUCAUGUUGAGGACAACCUGUACACAGUCUUUUAAAUCUUUUCCAAUAAUCAUAUAAAUCCUCAGAUGGAUUUUAUCUUAUGUUACUGAUCUCUCUUCUUAUGCCAAUGGCCUUAGAAGUGGGAAAGUAUUUAUUCAGAAAAACUCUCACCAUGUCAUCCCAAGAUGUAAUAGAUCCAGGUGGCAAAUAAAAUAACCAAUCUUUAGCAUAAUCAUCAAGGAAAAAAGGAAAAGCUCUCAACUUGAUAUAAUCUUCAGUGAUACCUUGGGGUCUCAUAGAUGAGCAAAUAAUAUGAAAUUCUUUUAAAUGCUUGUGUGGAUUUUCAUUUUCAAGACCUCUAAAUUUAGGGAGAAGAUGAAUCAAACCUGUUUUAAGUUCAAAAGGAACUGUCAGAGGUGGAUAGUUGAUGCAAAGUGGUGCUUGAUCAACUAUAGGUGCUGCCAACUCUCUCAUGGUUCUUUCUCUUUACACUGGGACCCUCAUGGCUGGAUUUUCUUGAAUUAUUUGGUCUUGGACAGCAUGUCCAUUGUGGGCAGCAGGUUGUGGAAUAUGUUCAGCCAUGGAUGAAGAAGAAUGGUGCGAUUCAAAGGUGUUCAGAAGUGCUUCUGCACAGGGCUCUCCUUGUGGAGCGAUUGGGGCUUCUUCCGGAAGAACUGCUUGCUUUCCUAGUCUUCUGAGGGUGCGUUGUAUUUCCGGAUCGUAAGGCAGAGUGUCCCUACAUUCAGAUCUGGUCAUGAAAGAAAAAUAAAUAAGUUAAAUCAAUUCCCCGGCAACGGUGCCAAUUUUUGACUCGCGGUUGUCGAAGCCGGUCAAAAAUAACCUUUCUGGUUACCAAUAAUUUUAUAUUUGCAGAUAGUGGUGAAAUGAUCAAAUCCACAGAGAAUUGAGAACUCACCUAUUUCUAUUUUUAUGACCAAGAAAAUAAACUGAAACGAUAAUAAAUUAAAAAUGAGAUAAAAGACUGAAAGUGGGAUCAAAUGAGAUAAACUGAAAAUUGGGAUCAAAACUGUCAACAAAAUAACAGGGGGGUUUUGAGAUUGAUUGUAGUAAACUAAUAAUGAGAAUAAUAAUGGAAAGUAAAUAAUUAAAUAAAAAGUUAUCAAUAAUGAGAAAGCUCUAAUUGAAAUAUUGGAUCCACUUUAGUUGUUGGGAUUGAUCACAGACACUUUGUUCUUUUGGGUUGAUUCAAUAGAUUAGUUAUGGAGAUGGAAUAAGAUUCUCAAUACCAUUAUCUCUCCUUAUUAUUAAAUUAAUUAGGGAACGUCCUCUAAUCAAUUACUAAUUAACAAGUUGCCAAGGAACGUCCUUGGGCCUCAGGCAAUAAACAACUGUCAAUUGCAUUAAGAAAUAGAGAGAUCCAAUCCUAGCUACCCAAACGUAUGGAGAUAACGCUAGAUCAUGCAACUUCCUUGGUUUUUAUGCCAAGUGUUCUCAUGUAAGAAUAAUCUAAGCAAUUACGGACUUAAAUCAUUCAAACUAACAAUUAAUUAUUUUGCAAUAAAAAAUCAACGUAGAUCUCAAUAACAAAGUAAUAUGAGAAUUAAGUAUGAAAUUGCAUGAAUAUUGAACUCCCAAAAGUUAAACAAUAUUUGAUCAAGUCUCACAACCCAUUAAAUAACUAAAGCUUCAAUCAAUAUUCAACUAGAUUAAAGAAAUCAGCCACUCAUUAGCUGAAUUAAAAACAGAAAAAUAAAAGGAAAAAGAAAGGAACCGAAGAUGGGAGGUGGAGAGCUCCUUGCGCGCCGAUCCUUGCAAGAAGAGAAGAGAGUGAUUCAAUUCUCCUUUUUUCGGCCGCUUAAGUGUCCCUUAUAUAGGAUUAGGGAGGCUGAUUUAAGGUUUUCAAUUGCUGUCCACGUGAGGUGAGUGUCCCAUGUGCGUGAAGGUGCGAUCCAUGUGGAGUGAGCGUUGAAGCGCUUUGGCGGGAGCUUGGUCCACGUGAAGUGAGCGUUGAAGCGGAUCCAUGUGCAUGUGUCCCAUGCUUGCCUAUGUGAGGCGUGUGGCUUGGUCAUGAGUGCAAGGUGGAGUCCAUGUGCAUGAGCUUGCUUUGGCGGGCCCUUGUGCGUGAACGUGCAGUCCAUGGUUGCAAGAGUGGGCUGUCCAUGAUUGCAAGAGUGGGCCGUCCCUGAUCGCAAGAAAGGGCUGCCCAAGUGCCAAGUCACUUGAAUAUUUAAAUUUCAAAAUAUUUUCCUCAUUCAGUUUGACUUGAAUCCAACUUGACAGGCUUGCUCUCUUCUGCUCCAAAUAAGGCAGUUUUAGGGGGAUUUUCUCCAAAUUGUCCUUUUACACCAUUUUCUGCAAAAUAAUAUUAAAAGCACUAAAUUAAGCAGAAAUCAUGUAAAUAUUUAUCAAUAAUAUUAAUAUAAAUUGGACUAAAUUAUGCUCUAUCAGUCAUCUUGCCUUAUGUACUUCUCUGCCCUCUUCAUCAGCUCCGCUAAGGUGGUGGAUGGCUUCUUGCACAGUGACCCAAAAAACUCAAGGGAUGUAGUCCCCUUCUGCAUAGCCUCCACUGCUCUAGCCUCGUCCAUCUCGGGGAUCUACAAGGCCUCCAAAUUGAAUUGGGUCAUGUACUCUCUUAGAGACUCAUUUUUCCUCUGUCAAAUCGUCUCUAGGUAGCUGGUCUUCCUCUCAGUCGGGACUCCUGCAAUGAACCGGCUAAUGAAUAUAUUAGCUAGGUCCGCAAAGCUCCCAAUGCUCCCUGCCUCCAGGCUAUUAAACCACCCUCGAGCUGGUUUUGUGAGGGUAGUGGGGAAGACUUUACACAUUAGGGUGUCUAAGAGAGUUUGGAGCUCCAUGAAUGUCUUAUAGUUCAGGAUGUGCUCCCGGGGAUUUCCUGCACCGACAUAAGCCGCCAUCGGUGGCAUCAUAAACUUCUUCAGGAUGGUCUCCUGUUGGAUCCACCUUAAAAAAGGUGAGGAUGUGGGUAAGAGAGCCUGGCUGCUGUCUUUUGCCCUCAUCUCAGCCAGGAGCUGUGCCUUCAUCCUUUCCAACUUUCGAUCCACAUUCGUCUCCUCCUGCUUUGGCCUUUUCUCUAAGCGAUAUCUCAUUUUCCACUCUUCGCUCUCUGUCCUUCCUAUUGGCCCGUUAGAGUAGCUUUCUGCCUCAUCAUUCUCAAUGAGCUCUCUCACCCUCUUGUCUCUGGCCUUGACUGCAGACUCAUUCCCCCUAUCAGCCUCUCCACUUCUUUCACCUAUCCUCUGGCUAUUCUGUUGGGGGAUUUGGUAGUUAAAAGUGGGUCGGGGUUCGGCAGUGUUGAAGCCUUCAGCUACAAGGGGUAUGCUCAGGGGUGUAUUGAGGCCCCUUUGUUAUAGCAUCUGCCCCAGCCAGUGGGCAGUGUUUUGGAGCUGUAGCUCUUGAUCAGACAAGGUGGUUCUGAGUGUAUUCCUUGCCAAGCUCGGCAAGGGAUUAAACAGUACAGGUGGUUGAUUUGAUAGGAUUGUGGGACUGAAAAAUCAUAACUGUUGUCCUUCCUGAGUAAAGCUCAAGUCGUUUAAGGUGUUAUUGGUGUGAUUUUCGUUGUGGUUAGCCAUGUGGAUCUCAGUGGGUGUAAAUAGAAACUCUAGUGACAGAAAGAUCUCCUUCGUCCCCACUAAAUUAUAUAUAAUAUAAAUAAUUACUGUAUAUAAUAAAUAUAAAAUAUAUUUAUUUUAAAUUAAAAAUUAUAUAUUAUAUUUAAUAUCAUUUCAAUGGUCCUUUGACUUCUUAACCAAAAGAGAAAUAGAUGUAGUAGUUGAUAACUACUAGCAACCGUUGCCAGACUCAAGUGAGUAAAUGAUAAAAUUGAGAAAAUUUAAACCAUAAUUGAAUUCUAUUUAAAUGUUUGAUAAAUUAUAUAUUUUAAAUAUUCAUCUCUAAUUUUUUUUAUGUUAUAAAAAAAUAAAAAUUAGUUAAUCUUAAUACAUGAAAUGUGAAUUACUGAUUAAUAGAUAAUAAAUCUCACAUUAAUAGAUAAAUAACUAAGCGGUAAAAUUUAAGCUCGUUUAAGCCGAACAAACCUUCUUAAUAUCUUCAAAACUUUGACACAUAUUAUGCCCACUCAAUUAAUGGGCGAAGACCAAAUCACCACCAUGUCAUCAUUGAUGAACUAAUAAAAUUGAUUAAUAAUUCUUCACAAGAUAGGUGAGAUUUGAGAUAUACCAAUGUUAAUAAAAAAGUUUAAAAACUAUAUUAUAAUGAAUUAUAACUUCUUUAAAUUAAACCUAGUUUAUAAAUUAAAAAAUUUGGUUAUCUGAAAUAUAAAAAUUGAUAGUAUAUAUAAAUUAAUAUAAAUAUUUAUCUUUGCAUUCGGUAAGAUGUUUUUUUAUUAAAAAGAUAUUUUAAUUUAAUUAAAAUAAAAAAAAUUAAUUUUUUUCUUUUUAAUUUCAACAAUUCUCCAUCCAAAAAGAAAUUAAAACUAUAUUACAUAAAAAUGUCUUUUCAUUUGCCUCCAUUACAAAUAAAAACCUUUCCUUUUUCUUUUCUCUUUCACACUGUGCUACACCUUGUGAAUAAAGAAAUCAUUUACUCUUUUUUCUCGAAGAUCAAAACUUUUCUUCUCAUCAAACUUCUCCACCGUUGGCACGUUCAUUCUCCCAACGACACCUUCAUCGCAUUCUCCUCACAUAUCCAUAGAUAUGCACACUAGAGUUGGAUCUUCCACAUUUCCUAGAGUAAUUUUUCAAAUCAUGAAUAAUACAAAAAAUAAUUUUAAAAUCAUAAAAAUUUAAAAAUAUUUUCGAAUUCUGUGUGUAAACUCAACAUGUUCGGCAGUACGCUAAUUCAACACCAUAGAUGUGGAACAAAUAAAAGUUCGACAUCUAUGGUGUCGAACUCUACCUAAUUCAACUUGUUCGACACUAUAAGUGUCAAACAAGCUGUACAUUGCCACGGGAACAGUUGAAAUUGUUUCCGUGGCAACACGUAUGGCUCUUCGGCAUUGGGUCUACUGGCUUGCACGGCCCACUGCAUGCAUGGACCUGCAUGGAUGCAGGUAAGAAAAUAAAAUCUAAUAUUAAAUUUUAUUAGAUAUUAAAAAGUAUUUACAAAAUCUUAAAUAUAAAAUAAAAUUAAUACUAAUCGAUUUAUAUAUUUUAAUAAUAUAAAUAAAAUAAAUAAAUAAUUUUAAAAUAAUAAAAAAUACAACGGAUGAAAUAAUUUAAAAAAUAAAAUUAUUAUAUUUAUAAAAAAUUAUUUCAUUUUAUUUUCUUAAUUACUAUUUAUUUUAAAAAUAUUAAAUUUUAUUAUAUAUUAAAAAAUAUUUAUAAAAACUUAAAUAUAAAAUAAAAUUGAUNNNNNNNNNNNNNNNNNNNNNNNNNNNNNNNNNNNNNNNNNNNNNNNNNNNNNNNNNNNNNNNNNNNNNNNNNNNNNNNNNNNNNNNNNNNNNNNNNNNNNNNNNNNNNNNNNNNNNNNNNNNNNNNNNNNNNNNNNNNNNNNNNNNNNNNNNNNNNNNNNNNNNNNNNNNNNNNNNNNNNNNNNNNNNNNNNNNNNNNNNNNNNNNNNNNNNNNNNNNNNNNNNNNNNNNNNNNNNNNNNNNNNNNNNNNNNNNNNNNNNNNNNNNNNNNNNNNNNNNNNNNNNNNNNNNNNNNNNNNNNNNNNNNNCACAUAAAAUUCGAAAAUAUCUUAAUACAUAGAAUCCGAAAAUAUUUUCGAAUUUUACAUGAUUUUAAAAUUAUUUUUUGUAUUAUACAUCAUUUAAAAAAUUGCUCCAUUUCCUACCUACAUGCCCAAUGUUAGUGCUUCCUGCAUGUCCAUCUACAUGCGAUACACGUCCACCUGCGUGCUCUUCUUUACCAUCAGCCUUCUCAAUUUGUACUCCUGCCCAUAGCACAAACACUUUCUCUCUCGGUGAUAGCUCUCUUGGCAAUUCGAUUUUACUUUAAACCUCCCGUUCCUUCAGAUCUAUUUCCAUAGCGAAACUCACUAUCCAUAAGAAAUGACUACCUAAAGAAUGAUGAACUGAUUGCCAUCUUUUGAAUUUUUAUAUUUUCCUCAGCGGAAGCACCUUAUACAAAUAUUGUAUACACCUCUGCUAUGUACUGGACUUUUGAUCUUGUCCUUUUUGAAUUAUCCCUUCAGAACCAAGCUCUAUCCAUAUCUAUCUAGACUCUGACCUUAUCCCUUUUGAACUAGAUUCUGAUACUAGUGAAAAAAAAAAAUUACAGAUUGGCCUAAAAAAUAUUGCAAAAAUAAAAGAGAUACAAUUUUAACGUUAUUCAGCUAAGUACCAGCUUAUGUAUGAAUAACAAUAAAAUAUCUUUCCACUACAUGCGAAUACUAUUAUGUAUAAAUAUUGUAAUAGUCACUUAAGUAAUUCCCACUGAAUAUUUUCCAUAAUAUUUAUAUACCUCUCUCAUAUAAAUUUAAAGAGUUAUGCUAUCUCCACCCACAUAUUUAAGCCACUUCACUGAAGCAAAUAACUCCCUAGUUUCCCUGGAGAAAGUAUCUAAAGAGUAAAUUCCACUAGCACAUACCGGGUGGUUAAGCCACCCGCUGAAGCAAAUAACGUCUAGAUCACCUAAAAAAAUACCCCAAGAGUAAAUCUCUCUCAUAUAGCCAGUGUUAUCCUCGCUGAAAGAAAUACUCCUCUAAACCUAGAGAAGAAAAAUAUAUUAAAAGCUCUCCUAGCUCAACUCCCCCACGUUUUGGACUUGAUUAGGAAAAUUUUCCCUGAGGAGGGAAGGACUUCUUCCCUUGGUGCUCCACCUCUUCACCCCCUUAAGUGUGCAAAGAAGGUAUCGAAUCUUUCCUAUUUAUAGGCAACAGCUCAUCCUUUCCAUUUAAAGCUAUUAAAUAAAUUUCUUGCACCAUUGAUUGACUUUGGCCCUUUUUUUUUAUAAUAUUCAUGCACCUUCAUCAACCUUUUUCUUGAAAAAAAAAAAAUCUUUUUAAGUUCAACAGGUUUUACUCGGAGGUUUUAAGAAGUCGGUUGGGUUGCAUGAGUCAACUCAAUUUUGUUAGUUCAUGAAGCUGAUGGAAGAUGGUGGUCGUGAGUGUGAAUUGUUAAUCGCAGUCUUGGGAAUUAGUUCUUUGAUUUCUAGAAUGUCAUUUUGAAGCUCUGUACAUAUUAGCCAUCCUGUACAUAUUAGCCAUCCUGGGCAGGCAUGCAAUAACUACAUGGCAGUAAGAGGGAGACAAUUUAAACAGAGAAUUAAUAAGAUAGAUCACAAAUAAAGGAAGAAGGAGAUGAAAAAUAAACGUGAAGGAAAGAAGAUAGAACAAAGAGCUACGAGAGUGUCAGUUUCCACAUUAACUAAAAGAUAAAUACAGAUUCUACUAGUAGAGACAUGCCAAUAGUGAAAAGGAUUAGAGUAAAUGCUACUCAACAUAUAAGAUGUAACAAAAACAUAGGGACUGAAAAGUCUUGAAUUGGAAUACAGUUGCUCUCUCUCUCUCUCUCUAUAUAUAUAUAUAUAUAAGGAUACAUUUCUCUGAUAUGGCAGCAACUACUUACUGAUAUAAUCAUUGUUGGUGAUGGUAUUUGUUCAACGCUUGCUUACACUAUUGGCAAGGUAUAGGUUCCUUUCUAUUGCUUUAAGCGUCAAAGAUGAGUUCUUUAUGCUCAUCUUAAGUGCCAGGCUCCAUGCAUUAGUUUUAAUUUUGAUCCAUUGUUGAAAUGAUAGUAUGAUCCAUUGAAUUUGCCAACAUUCACCAAAUUACCCUGGUUUGUGAACUAAAAUCCAUUUUCACAAAAAAGGCGAAUAUUUUCGUAUGUAAUAAUAUGAAACAUUCUAAAUUUAGAGGACAUAUUCUAACCUUUAAAUUUGGGAGCAAAUAUAACCAACCUCAAAAGCAAUAUACUAAAUUUUGAAUCUAGUGAACAAAAAUAAGCUAAAAAAAAUUUUAUAAUCAGCAUGGAUAGCAAAAUGAAGCAAAUAACAGUUUAACAUUUUAAGAUCUGCAUUUUGGUGAUAAUAAUGACUACAAUUGCUCUCAAGUCCUAAAGGUUAAGAUACGUGUUCCAAAAUUAGAAAAUUUAGAAAUAAUUGCAAAUCAUUGCAGAUGUUUCCCUUUUCUAUCUAAUUGGCCAUUGUUUUUCAAAACCAUGAUUUGGCAGAAAGCCCUUGGGUUGACAAUAAAUUUUGUGUUUUGGUGGACUUCUUGAUUUCUUAAUCAGGUUAACCUUGCAUAAUCCUGUAGCUCCAUUGUUGCAGAGCUUAGAUAACCCACCAAGAACUUGAUAUAGUUAUUAGAUUAGCAGACAAGCAGAGGGCUUAGUUCUAAUUGCUCUAGCAUCCCUUGGUUUCCAAGCAUUAUUUCAAGCAGGGAAGAUAACAUUAAUUAACAUACAAGACAUUAGUCUUUGAGCAUCUAAAUUGGGUCACUGAAGAGUUUUAGCAACACCUUCAAUAUUUAGCAAAAUCUCAACCAUGAAUAUAAAUACACAAAUUCAUAGAAGAAAUAGAGAUUUAUGACUCAAGAUGAGCAUACCAGAUGCCCUGGAUCUUCACAUCUUUUGGAGUUUUUGCUCCCAAAUCAGUAUCAGAUGGCUGAAUACUCUCAAACACUCCAAUAAUCUCUCCAGUCUCAGGUUUUGAUCCGGUGACACUCAAGGUGAUUUUCCCUGUUGAUGACGAAACAUUCUUAUUGUUCUCCUUGGCUAGCUCCUCCUCAUCUCCUCUGCCUCCGGCUGGCAAGGCAACGGCAUUGUCAUAACCAGUUGAGCCACCUCUUCCCUUUGGGUCCAAGAAAGAUGAACCACGGUAGGACGGUACGAGAAAUUCUCCUCCAAAGUUCUCCGGUUUACCUGUUGCCACCAACUGUUUGAUGGUGAAAAGGAAAGGCACACGUUCACCACCAGGAAGCUGUACGGUCACAGCAGCGUAAUCAAUCCCAUCUUUCUCCUCAAACUUGACAGUUCCAUCAGGGGAGACUUCGAAAGGUCCCUCAAUCUCGUCGAGAGUGUAGGUCAAGCGAGUCAUGAGCUUAGUGUUUUGGAACUCAGGUGGAGAAUUCUUGCUUACACCUUCUGCCUUGACAGUGAAUGAAGUGGGCUCUAAGCAGAACUUCUUGGCGGUGUAUUUUCCAGGC
rnacentral:lncRNA from 1 species